GCACGGACUUCGGUCUGGUGGCGAGUGGCGAACGGGUGAGUAAUGUAUCGGAACGUGCCCAGUAGCGGGGGAUAACUACGCGAAAGCGUAGCUAAUACCGCAUACGCCCUACGGGGGAAAGCAGGGGAUCGUAAGACCUUGCACUAUUGGAGCGGCCGAUAUCGGAUUAGCUAGUUGGUGGGGUAACGGCUCACCAAGGCGACGAUCCGUAGCUGGUUUGAGAGGACGACCAGCCACACUGGGACUGAGA
rnacentral:rRNA from 1 species